rnacentral:rRNA from 1 species
UACGGAGGAUGCAAGCGUUAUCCGGAUUCAUUGGGUUUAAAGGGUGCGUAGGCGGCUGUUUAAGUCAGUGGUGAAAUCCUGCGGCUCAACCGUAGAACUGCCAUUGAUACUGAAUAGCUUGAAUGUAGUUGAAGUAGGCGGAAUGAGUAGUGUAGCGGUGAAAUGCUUAGAUAUUACUCAGAACACCGAUUGCGAAGGCAGCUUACUAAGCUAUAAUUGACGCUGAGGCA